CCGGACUCCAGAAGGCUGUGCAAAAGGGUCAGUAGCCAGCAACCUGCCUUUCCGGAGGGGGAGCUAAGGUGUAUUUCUUUGCCACACUGCAUUUGCAGGUCAGAGAACAUCAUGUGAAAGUUAGUUCUCUCCUACUAUGAGGGUCUCAAAAAUUGGAGGCAAGUUGUCACGUCAGGCUUGAUGACAAGAGCGUUUACCUAAUGGCUCACAAAAGUGCGUUUAUUCUGAACACAUUUCUGUGAAGAAUAGCACACAGAGAACCAGAACCUGGAAACAACCUAGAUGCCACCUCAAUGGAAGAAUGGAUAAAGAAAGUGUGG